UACGUAGGGGGCAAGCGUUGUCCGGAUUUAUUGGGCGUAAAGAGCGUGUAGGCGGCUUUGCAAGUCCGUUGUGAAAACUCGAGGCUCAACCUCGAGACGCCGGUGGAAACUGCAAAGCUAGAGUCCGGAAGAGGAGAGUGGAAUUCCUGGUGUAGCGGAGAAAUGCGCAGAUAUCAGGAAGAACACCCGUGGCGAAGGCGGCUCUCUGGGACGGUACUGACGCUGAGACGCGAAAGCGUGGGGAGCGAACAGG
rnacentral:rRNA from 1 species